rnacentral:rRNA from 1 species
CAGCCGCCGCGGUAAUACGUAGGGUGCGAGCGUUGUCCGGAAUUAUUGGGCGUAAAGAGCUUGUAGGCGGUCUGUCGCGUCUGCUGUGAAAACCCGAGGCUCAACCUCGGGCCUGCAGUGGGUACGGGCAGACUAGAGUGCGGUAGGGGAGAACGGAACUCCUGGUGUAGCGGUGGAAUGCGCAGAUAUCAGGAAGAACACCGAUGGCGAAGGCAGUUCUCUGGGCCGUAACUGACGCUGAGAAGCGAAAGCGUGGGGAGCGAACAGGAUUAGAUACCCCAGUAGUCCCUGUCUCUUAUAC